AUGGAAAAUAAAGCCAAACGAAAACUGGAGGUCACUAAUAUUUGUGUGCUUUGUGGCAUGGAAUCCGAGGAUACAUUCCACGCUAUGUGUAGGUGUCCGAUGGCGAAAAUGCUAUGGCAGGCGAUGGCGAAGUUCCAGUCUAUGCCGCGUCUUCAGGAUGUUCUUAAUUCGGGCACGGAGUGGGCUCUUCACCUGCUAAACCAAUGCACGGAUGAGCAGCGUCUUCCGGUGAUCAUGACGCUUUGGAGAAACUGGCACGUCCGCAACGAAGUAGUGCACCACAAACCGGCUCCCACCAUUGAAGCUUCCUGCAGAUUUUUGUGCAGCUACAUCGACAGUCUGUACUGCAUUCAGCAACACCCGAACGAUGAUGUGACCAAAGGGAAAAUGGUGAUCAAGCCAAGCUGCUGUAGCUCGCGUAUGAAGUCACCAAUAGAACGGAUGGAGUGCACCAGACCGCCGGAACAAUGGUCCAAACCACCGGAGGGCUGGGCCAAAUUGAACAUCGAUGGCGCCUGGAGAGAAGAGGAUGGCACGGGCGGCGCAGGCAUGAUUCUUCGCGACCAAGAUGGCUCCAUCAUUUUUGCAUCUUGUAGGUUCCUUACGACAUGCACGAGUGCCCUUGAAGCCGAAGUAGCUGCUUGCAUGGAAGGAAUUUCCCUCACGCUAGCACGGACUACACUGCCGUUUAUCCUGGAGACUGACUGUCUUACUGCAGCAAACAUGAUCAGAGAUGUUGACACCAAUAGAUCCCCAGUGGCUGCCCUCAUCGGUGAAAUCAAGCAUCUCCUGGCACUUGGACGUGAACAUGUGAUAGCACAUGUGAGUAGAAACAAGAAUAAAACUAGUCAUGCACUUGCCCAGAUGGGUAUUUCUGAACUCCGUACAGCCGUUUGGGUUCGUCAUGGACCUGAUGAAAUUGGCGCCUUAUGCCAUCAGGAUUGUAAUAAUCUUCCUUGA
rnacentral:rRNA from 1 species